GACGAACCGUGCGAACGUUAUUCGGAAUCACUGGGCUUAAAGCGCGUGUAGGCGGGCCGCCACGUCAGUCGCUGAAAUCCCCCGGCUCAACCGGGGAAGUGGCACUGAUACGAGCGGCCUGGAGGGAGGUAGGGGGGGCUGGAACUUCCGGUGGAGCGGUGAAAUGCGUUGAGAUCGGAAGGAACGCCCGUGGCGAAAGCGAGCCCCUGGACCUUUUCUGACGCUGAGACGCGAAAGCUAGGGGAGCGAAUGGG
rnacentral:rRNA from 1 species